GUAGUCACAUAGGUCAAUUUCAACAACUCACUAAUAGAGAAAGGAGAGAGUAUCAGAAGCAUGUAAAAUGUCAAGUACAAAGACCUUUCUAUUAAAUGGUUGAGUUCAAAGAUUGAAAGAAGUCAAAAUAAAGAAACAGAGGUUGAAACAAAAAGGGAUUCAAAUCUAGUCGAGCAACAGAUGAAGAAACUUCAGAAGCUCGAAUAGGUCCAAAGAAGUCAGGGUUUUGUAAUCAAUCAAAUUUAGAGCAUGAAAAACAAGUAAAUCACAUAGCAAAUAGUCUCAGAACUUGAACAAACCUCAAAUUUUAGGGUUUUCACCAUCUAUCGAAUAUAGAGAUGAGAAACAAGUAAGUCUGGAAAAAAUAUUAACAAAAUAAUUUCAUAAAUCUCAAAAAUGUCAACGACCUCAGC
rnacentral:lncRNA from 1 species